rnacentral:ncRNA from 1 species
AUAAAGAUAUUGAUGAAGAGGAGUAUAUAGAAUGAAACUUAAAGAGAGCUAUUGUUGAUGGAAAUAUAGCAGUUUAGUUCUAUAGAAAGCAGCUUCUGAAUCUCUUGUUGAAAAAUGGAUUUAUAUCCAAUUAGAUAUAGACGUCUACUCACGUUAUAGAGUAAAGGAAUUGUUGUUCCUUAGAGCAGGAUGCAUUAUUGCAUCAAUUAGGGUGGUACCGCGGUAACUUCUUCGUCCCUUUA